CCUACGGGUGGCAGCAGUGAGGAAUAUUGGUCAAUGGGCGCGAGCCUGAACCAGCCAAGUAGCGUGAAGGAUGACUGCCCUACGGGUUGUAAACUUCUUUUAUCAAGGAAUAAAGUGCGGCACGUGUGCCUUUUUGUAUGUACUUUAUGAAUAAGGAUCGGCUAACUCCGUGCCAGCAGCCGCGGUAAUACGGAGGAUCCGAGCGUUAUCCGGAUUUAUUGGGUUUAAAGGGGGCGGAGAUGGGCUGGUAAGUCCGUUGUGAAAGUUCGCGGCUCAACCAUAGAAUGGCCGUUGAAACUGGGGGGCUUGAGUAGGUGUGAGGCAGGCGGAAUGCGUGGUGUAGCGGUGAAAUGCUUAGAUAUCACGCAGAACCCCGAUUGCGAAGGCAGCCUGCCAAGCCAUGACUGACGCUGAUGCACGAAAGCGUGGGGAUCAAACAGGAUUAGAUACCCCAGUAGUC
rnacentral:rRNA from 1 species